AGCAAACGCUGGCGGCGUGCCUAAUACAUGCAAGUCGAACGGGGAAAGUGGCAAUACGAGUACUAGUGGCGCACGGGUGAGGAACACGUGGGUAAUCUGCCUUCGAGCGGGGGAUAACUAAUCGAAAGAUUGGCUAAUACCGCAUAAGACCACAAGAUCUGCGGAUCUAGGGGUCAAAGCCGCAAGGCACUUGAAGAUGAGCCCGCGUGAGAUUAGCUAGUUGGUGAGGUAACGGCUCACCAAGGCGAUGAUCUUUAGCUGGUCUGAGAGGAUGAUCAGCCACACUGGAACUGAGACACGGUCCAGACUCCUACGGGAGGCAGCAGGAGGGAAUAUUGCGCAAUGGGGGCAACCCUGACGCAGCGACGCCGCGUGAGUGAUGAAGGCCUUCGGGUCGUAAAGCUCUGUUAUAUGGGAAUAAGAUCUGAAUGUACCAUGUGAGAAAGGAUCGGCUAACUUCGUGCCAGCAGCCGCCGUAA
rnacentral:rRNA from 1 species